rnacentral:rRNA from 1 species
AGCGAACGCUGGCGGCAGGCCUAACACAUGCAAGUCGAACGGAUCCUUCGGGAUUAGUGGCGGACGGGUGAGUAACACGUGGGAACGUGCCCUUUGGUUCGGAACAACUCAGGGAAACUUGAGCUAAUACCGGAUGUGCCCUUCGGGGGAAAGAUUUAUCGCCAUUGGAGCGGCCCGCGUCUGAUUAGCUAGUUGGUGAGGUAAAGGCUCACCAAGGCGACGAUCAGUAGUUGGUCUGAGAGGAUGAUCAGCCACAUUGGGACUGAGACACGGCCCAAACUCCUACGGGAGGCAGCAGUGGGGAAUCUUGCGCAAUGGGCGAAAGCCUGACGCAGCCAUGCCGCGUGAAUGAUGAAGGUCUUAGGAUUGUAAAAUUCUUUCACCGGGGACGAUAAUGACGGUACCCGGAGAAGAAGCCCCGGCUAACUUCGUGCCAGCCGCCGCGUAAUAC